GUUUGAGUUUUGGGUAUAAAAGACGAUGAAGAUGAGGCAAAUGAAGGAAACCCCCAUGUAAACAAUGGCGAAGAUUCGAUCGAUGUUUGUUUCUGGGUAGAGAUAGGAAAAGUAAUCGAUUGCUGUGACGAAGGCGUUCCAUGGAAGGAGAGGUAGAGCGAAUGGAAAAUGGGAUUCUGGUGAAAUGGCCAGAAAGAGGAACUCAAGGUUAGUGCAUUUCAAAGGUGGUGGUUGAAGCGAGUGAUGGACACUCGGACGAUGGCCACAAGUAACGGAGAAAGGAAGGUAUGAAGGUAGGUGCAUGGGGGAGAAACGAGUGCAAGGAUGGGACUAACAGAGAAAGUAACGAUCGCGAUCAAGGUGUUAUAUGACACAAAAGGUUAAUAUGCAUUAUGUUUAGAAUCCAUUUCAUUCGACAUUAUGACGCAAGGUAGAUUAGGUCAUUUGUAUAAAAAAAAAGAAACUCUAUUGUAGAGGGGUGCUACUUGCCUUCUUAGGAUAUAACCCAAUUAAUUAUUUCAACAAGCAAAAGGUUGUAUUAUAUAUCGAAUUAGUCAAGGUAGGAGAGGCAUUUCAAACGAGCUUUAAUUUGAGAAGUCAAGAAAGGAUCUAUUUUAUUUAUUUCUGAAA